rnacentral:lncRNA from 1 species
UUCGCUCCGACCUGUGAGCUCACUUCAAGGCAUAUGUGAGUCCGCUUAGGAUUUGAAGAGUUAAGCUGGAACACAGGUGUGGAAACAAAAGGCUGGAUGCCUUCUCUGCUUUUUCUUUUUUCAUGUACUUUUGGAUGAGGUUAUUGAAUCUUAUCCAGAAAAAAUAAUAAACUUGGCUCUUGUAGCCUUGCCGUAAGUUCUUGUAAUAAAACUCCCAACAUUGGCAGAUAGAGUAAUGUUCUGCUCUUAAAAAAAAAAAAAAAAAAAAAAAAAAGUCUGGUAGCAUAACUUGAAUUUAAAAAUACCAAUGUUGUGCACAGUUCAAGCAGGAAAGAACAUUCUGGUGAGGAAGGGACUCAGGUGCACCCCAGCUUCCCUGGGUUGGUUAGACCACAAAACACUUAGUGAUUGUCCCUUCAACAGACCCUUGCUAAGAGUCGAGAUCCUUGGAGCUCAGUGUUUGGUGCAUUCCCACAGGAAGACAUCUGUCAUGUCAGGGAAUGUCAGGGGUUGGGUUUUAAUUAGAAAGUAGGAGGAAAGUUCAGUGGGUGGAGACACAGAGCUGCUAAGUAUGCCUUAGUAAUUGGUUUUUAGCUAGAGUUAUUAGGUGAGAAAUCAAAUCAUUAGUUUGAAAGCCUAGUUGAGAGUCAUUUUCUGGGAGAGAAGGCAGGGAAGCAAGAAGCACUGGCCACUGGGGUGAAAGUGGUCUUUCCUGUAAGUGACAUCAAGAAGGGUCCCAUCAACCAGCAAUCAUGAACCCUGCCUUGCACCACGCAGUGAGCCAGCUAGCAAAAUUCACAAUGGACACUUGCUUCCUUGGCCCUCCGGCUUUCUGUGUCAAGGGAAGAUGGCAGGUGUGUCAGUGUGUAGGAGCUGUUAUUGAGGCAAGGAAUGGGCAGGAGGUCCUGAGGAGAGCAGGGAGCCUGGAAGGCCUCACAGAGAAAGGCAUGGGAGGUAAGGAGCCUGCUGGCCAGGUGAGGCGGCCACAGCAGAGUGAUCCAGGCAGGGAAGAAGGAGAGAAGGCCCAGGAUGGAGUCGUUUGUUCUGCAGCAGUGAUUGGUUCUUUAGGCUGAAUUCAGGGCAUGUGGGAGAGUGGUGUGAAAUGGAGGUGGAGGGUCAGAGAUGCCUCUUCCCCAGCUAUGUGCCACAUUAAGAUGCUUACCUGAUCUGUAUUAUUGCACGGUUGCACUUUAGGAAGGGAACACGGGUGAAGGAACGGGAUUGGGUACUUUAUUUUUCUCUUUUUAAUUACAAAGAGAAGGAGCAGGACAAAGGACCCUGAACAGAGAUGGAGUAAAAAGGAAGUCUCUGUUAUUCCAUCCAACUGUAAAUUCCUGUGCUCAACCAUUCAUUCUUUUGAAACAAUUUCACAUUAUUUAUUGUAGAAUACCAAGAAACAUGAUUAAUCUCUGCUCUUUAUGUCUGUCACACAUCUCCUAAAAGCUUUGGUGUCCCCAAAGUGAUAUCUUGCUGUGUUAAUGUGAUAGCUGGUAACUGGGUGGCCUCAAGUUGGGAGCUGGUUGCCGUGGGAACCAGCUGCUAGCUCAGAGGCUGGGCCAUCCAGCAUCUCUCCCACAGCUGAGAAAGGAAAUAGACUUAGACCUCAUCUCCAUUGACCAUGGAUUUGAUUCAGUCUGACCCACCCAUUCAAAGAACCCUUGAGUCUUGCCUCAGUGUUCAGAGUCAGUACUGGUAGUGAUUUGACAACCGUGCUGUCUGGGGGUGCCGAGGACGUCAAGAAUAUUGUCCUGAAGUAUGAGCAUGUGACAAAAGUUAAGUAAAGGUUUGCAUUACCAAAGAACAAGGAAUGAACUCUCUGACUUGGUAGGCAUGACUCAGAUCAGCAAACCAAAGGGGAAUUUUAGGGGAAGAAAGAGAGCCGGGAGGGAGGGGCGGGUAGGAGGGGGGAGACUGGAGAGAUAGCUCAGCAGUUAACAGCACUGACUGUUCUCCCAGAGGUCCUGAGUUCAAUUCCCAGCAACCACAUAGUGGCUCACAACCAUCUGUAAUGGGAUCCGAUGCCCUCUUCUGGUGUGUCUGAAGACAGCUACAGUGUACUCAUAAAUAAAAUAAAUCUGAAAGAGAGAGAGAGAG